rnacentral:misc_RNA from 1 species
GAAAUGCGAUAGUAAUGUGAUUUGCAGAAUUCAGUGAAUCAUCGAAUCUUUGAACGCACCUUGCGCUCCUUGGUAUUCCUUGGAGCAUGCCUGUUUGAGUAUCAUGAAAUCUUCAAAGUAAAUCUUUUGUUAACUCAAUUGGUUUCUACUUUGGUAUUGGAGGUCUUUGCAGCUUCACACCUGCUCCUCUUUGUUCAUUAGCUGGAUCUCAGUGUUAUGCUUGGUUCCACUCGGCGUGAUAAGUUAUCUAUCGCUGAGGACACUGUAAAAGGUGGCCAAGGUAAAUGCAGAUGAACCGCUUCUAAUAGUCCAUUGACUUGGACAAUACUUUUAUGAUCUGAUCUCAAAUCAGGUAGGACUACCCGCUGAACUUAAGC